GAUGAACGCUGGCGGCGUGCCUAAUACAUGCAAGUCGAGCGAACAGACGAGGAGUUUGCUCCUCUGACGUUAGCGGCGGACGGGUGAGUAACACGUGGAUAACCUACCUAUAAGACUGGGAUAACUUCGGGAAACCGGAGCUAAUACCGGAUAAUAUAUUGAACCGCAUGGUUCAAUAGUGAAAGACGGUUUUGCUGUCACUUAUAGAUGGAUCCGCGCCGCAUUAGCUAGUUGGUAAGGUAACGGCUUACCAAGGCAACGAUGCGUAGCCGACCUGAGAGGGUGAUCAGCCACACUGGAACUGAGACACGGUCCAGACUCCUACGGGAGGCAGCAGUGGGGAAUCUUCCGCAAUGGGCGAAAGCCUGACGGAGCAACGCCGCGUGAGUGAUGAAGGUCUUCGGAUCGUAAAACUCUGUUAUUAGGGAAGAACAGAUGUGUAAGUAACUAUGCACGUCUUGACGGUACCUGAUCAGAAAGCCACGGCUAACUACGUG
rnacentral:rRNA from 1 species